UAGCUGGCGUACAAUUUCGCCUCCCGCCAGUCCAGCUUCAAACUGAAUAUAUAAUAAAGGAAAUUUGUAUAUAGAAUAAGUAGCAACUGUAAAGUAAAUAAAUGUAUAGAACUCCAAUAAAAACAAGUGAGUUGUUAAAGGUACUCAUUCGAUCACCAUCAUAUCAGCAGUUGGGGACCUUUUUUUGGGCAAAAAAAAAGUUAAAAGAAAAAUCUCAAAAUAUAGCUGAAAUUAUACCUUAUUAUGUCCAAAAAUUUCGAAAUAUUCGAUCGAGUAAUUUCUUAAAAAAAAUUCACGAAAACCUCCUAAUUCUUUAUGGGUUAUACUGUACCCCCUAACAAGCAAGCGGUCAUUAGUGCGCCCGACGAUUUUGGUAUCGAAGCAAAUCUUAAGCAUCUUAUAUCUUAUACUAGUCUGCUCAGCAUGAACCGCAUAGAACUGUAGGGUAGCGCACAUGUGCUCCGGACUGUAAAUAGUGAUACCGCGCAAGUUGGUGUUCUCUUCCCUUUGCUCUGGAUGGGGUGGUGGAACUUGAAAAUCAAGGCUGUGGAGUUUCGGCCUAUGCUGACAAUGUAGCCCUUAGAGUUAUUUGACUUUACAGACGGUAAAUAUUAUUACAUACAUAAGUCAAUUAGUUUGUAAUGUAGCCCUUAGAGUUAUUUGACUUUACAGACGGUAAAUAUUAUUACAUACAUAAGUCAAUUAGUUUGACCCAAAAAGCUGCUUAACGUAACUAAAACUGUUGCGAAUCUUGCCACUUAAAUGAACUUGUCAUGUUAACAAUUUGUUAAUUAUUCAUAAAUGAAAAUACAGCUCAACUUCUAUAACUCGAACUCUUAAAUUGGCAAUGGAAGUCAAAUUUCAUAAAAUUAAUUCAAAGUCUCUCUAAUUUGAAGGGUACUUCAACUGUAUAAAUAUACGAAUGACGGUAUUGGCCGACAAAACACAAAUAACACAUAUAUUACUACUAACCAGUUUACCCACAAUAACUCCCAAAAACUGAGAUGAUGGAACUGUGUCCAGACGUUUUGUGAUUUCCAUGAUUUUUUGUACCAAUACUGCGCUUCAUCCAAAUUACCCUUCAUGAAUUCUAGUCGUCCCUUAAAAAAAAGAAACCACACACCCUGCGGAUAUAAAAGUAAUUGUUCCUCAAGGAUGUUAUGGCACAGUUCUAGAUCACCUCCUUGAUGACUUAACACAUAACAUACUAUAAGGUGAUAGCCAAGCAAGGUCAUUGCACAAAGCACUUGACGUAAACCGGAUAACCGAUAGCCGGUGUUGAGAUCAGCUAGACCCGCAGUCUAAAAUAAAAUAAGCCAAUUGAUGAGUAAUUGUUAUUUGAUUGAUGAUAUACUACUUUCUACCUUAUUUCCAGAGAAUCCUAUGAACUGCAAGACUUUUAUAACACCUGAAGGUAGUAGAGAGAUCAUUAAAUUAAAUGCACCAACACCCAUGCGCACACCGCUCUCGAAAUGCACCUUGGAUACAUUCGACUCCCAUUGUCUUCGUGUAAGUAUUUGAGCGCACUCUCUUAAAAGGGGAUUAGUAAACUUAAUGCGGUAGCAGAUAAUAUAAAUAUGUAUAUCGAAACGUACUUGUAGCUAUUGUAACAAUGUCGUAUCUUCAUACCGCCGCGUAUCAAACUCGUCAAAGUCUCGUCCUCAAUGAAUGUGAGUAGUGCACGUAGGAGUAACGCCUCCGCAUAACACAAUUCAGCGUGUGCUUCCAAAUCGGAGAUUUGGGUGUAGUUCGUCUGCAGAGAAUGUUAACAUGCAUUACUUUUGUUUUGAUAAUUUUGUUGGCAGUAGAUUCUUAAUUAUUCUUCUCAGCUAUUCGCGAUACUGCCGUACAUAUUUAGAUAUAUUAAAAGGAAUUAUAACUUACAUACCCGCUUGAAUUUCUUCCCGAUGGACUGUGUAAUCGUGUUUUUGCGCUUGUAACGUUGGCAUACAUUUAAGCAUUUCUUCAACUCAUCCCCGGCUUCGGCAAUGUGUCGCUGCUCAAAUGUUAAUAUCGCUUCGAGGAAUAUAAAGACAGCGUGGCCCAUUGAGUGGUACAUGCUGCUAUGCGCGUAUGGUUGCAUCAGUGAACGUGCUUCAUCGAAUUUGUUGUUGAAGAAAUAGCAAAUGGCCAAUUUGGCUUCCUCCAGCGCAUUUUCUAAAUCCAUUUCAAAUUCUCUAUAUAACGUGUAUGCAAAUUUACAAAUAACUUCAAACGAUGUCUUAUUUAGUGCAUACAUACUAUAAUAUAAUACACAUAUAUAUAUGAUAAAACUUCUUGAAUCUUACCACGAACAACUUUUUCCUAGAUCUAUUAGGAUUACGAGUAAACAACGACUUGUAUUUUCUCUGAUUAUUUUAUAUGAUUUUAUGUUAUUGAUUACUGAAAGUACAAGUUACAAACCGCUUCCAAACGUACUUUAGUUAUAAAGAGAUAAUUCCAAAAAUUAUGAGUGAUACUUUUAUAUGAACUAACGUAAAUCCACAUAAUUAAUCGAGCAACUACCGCGUUCUUUUCUAGUACACUAGAAAUAUUAGUUGUUGUAGAAAUUAAUGAGUUAAGGUCGUUCUUCUAAAUUUGACAUAUUUAGGCUAAUUGGUUAUAGAGUAAUUAUGCUCAAUCGACUGCCUCUAAUGUGCAUUGAAAAGUGUGGCUUCGGUCUUGGCUGACUGAAUUUCACCCAACAAAAUUAAUAUUGCACAUUUCAACUUCGUUAUGGAUUUUUGAUUGUAUUGUCGAUUAUCUUUCGCUUUACAUGAGCUCUUAUGACUCGCUACACCUUCCACUAUCAGUGCUUUCAGCAAAACCACCCUCGCAGUCAGAUUUCUACCUAAAAAAACUUGUAUUCUCAUAUUCAUACAUACAAACAGGCUUCCUUUAGAUACUACAAUUAUAUACACACAAACAAAUAAUUAUUAAUAGAACCUGGGAAAGUGUAAUCGUACUUAAAGUCUUCUGGUUCACUGAUGGCAUCGAAGAACUGUGAAUAAGAUUUCGUAAAAUAAAAAAAUGUAGUUUUAAAAGACUGCGUUAUCAGUAGAGGAUAUGUGAUAAACGAUGCACUCACGCAAUUGUGAAAGGAUGGAUGAUUGUGUAAAAAUUUACAUACUAUAAAUAAUGCUUCUGUCAGAAGCAGAUUCAUCAAGACUUAUCUCCACUUUAAUAUUUAAUCCCACUUUCAUAAAACAACCUUGAUUGUAUUGUUACGUUUAAAAUGUUACAGCUGAUUAAUUUUUGUAAAAUUUUCACAUUUUUUGGUUUGAAGUUUCAACUAAAAUUUGCAAAAGAACCUCCAAAACGAAUUCCCGCAGCUUAUAUCAAGCCACUAUCAAUAUGUGUGGCCUGUCCUUGUCCUGAUGAAACAUACACUUCUCCUAUUGGCAGACCACUUCCGGGCAAUUUCUUCUCUGACACGAUCCCAUUGUUGACAGUAAAGGCUCGAAUUAAGUUUGGUCGCAGGGGUAGCUCAAAAUAAAUUAUUUUUUGCCAAAUCCACCAAGCCAUAUAUUUUAUAAUUUAAUUUGAAACUUGGUUGAAGCGCUUUAAAGCUUCACACUUACCAGGUUUCAUCAAUAUAUCUGAAGAUUUACUCAAGUUAUCUCUUGCACGGAUGUAUAUACAGAUAUUCAGAUUUCAACUUGUCUCUUCAUUUCAAGACAAAAGAAAUAAUAUAAAAUAAGAACCAUGUGUCAAGACCAUAUUCAUAGAUUUGAGAUCUUUUUCGACACUUGGGUAAAGUUGUCCCAAAAACAAGACAAGAAUUAGAAAAGUAGUUUAAGAGUCUUAACAAAUCACUUUAAUGAGGUGAAUGAAUGUGCGUAAUGUAUUUGAGUGGAAGGAAACAGAACAUCAUUUGAAACCUUCGUAAUGUCUAUAAUUAUUGUAGUCAACAUAUAUACAUACCUCACCCUCCUCCUCAUCUUCCAAAUUUGCGUGCACUGCAUUCGCUCCACUUGUAUUUGCACUGUUGUGUCCUAGCGAACUUUGGGGAAAAUUGGUGUCAGACCUCAAUUGCGCCAUUUGUGUAUCUUUCUUUGGCAGCAUUUCAAAUCUAAAAGGAAGAUUAAAAAUAACUAUGUGCAUUUUUUUUAGUAUUACGGGAAAUUAAUAUUUCCAAUUAUCCGAUUUAAAAAAAGCCUUUUUCAAAUGAAAUAACUUUUCAAUAAAAAACCCAGAGUCGCGAUAUAAUACCGAAGUGCGGUACUUACAGCUGCAGUAACCUCCAGCUAUAAAUUACUGCCUCACACCCAGGGUCAUGACAGCCGCCCGGAAACAAACCGUUUCUAACCAUUUAACUGCAACGGACUUCAAAGAAUGGUCGGAGAUAUAGUCGAUUUUAUGAGCCAGCGUUAGUCUGAUAAACAAUCUAGCGACCUUAGCAUCUAUAUGCUAAAAAUUAACAAGCUUGAGAAACCUCCGAACUGUUCCACUAUUUCUGUGGAAAACCGCUUAAGACCGCUUACGAGAAAUUCGCACAUAAAUAUCGGAUUAUAGCGGUUAUUUUUUCGAAGCGCGGCCGAAGGCAGCCAAUGCAGAAAGUAGCUCUACGCGAAAGAACUUUCCAUUUCCACCUCUUUGUUGUUGUAACGAUUAUCUAUCCCUGCCGGAACGGAAAGCAGGACGGGAGGCCCAGGAAACAUGCUGUUUCGAUGGGGUCGGACCAAAGGGAGAGGGGUGUUAGAUGAGUGGAGUUUGUUGGGCAUGCAAAAAAGGUGGUUAGUGUCAUGCGGAACAUGUAUUUUGUAUGUCGGGGUUCAGUCUGGAUAAGUAGGAGUUUAACCUGCUACAAUAUCCAAAAGUUGCACAAGGGUCACUCUGGUUUCACGCGGCAACUCGAGCUCUUCGUAUGCUAAAGGUGGUGGCUUGCUUCAAAGGACGCCAUUCACUGGAAGGGACUCAAGGAAGGUGUUAAUAGCUCCACUGUGAAUGGCGUUUAGGGCGUGUCUGAAACUGUUUGCGCCCACAGUCUGGUCGGUGUAUUGUUCAAGAUCGUCGACGUAUUGUAGUAGUGACCUCUUAAUGCACCUGGGGGCGGUUCUGCUUCCAGAAACUCACUACAUGAAUACACUAGUAGAAACUGGUUGGUAAGCAGUUCCUUAAUAGGCAGUAUAGUGGCCUCAUUGUGCAAAUGUGCUUCUGGUGACAUCAAGAGGCAUCCUGGAGCUGUCCGGAGUGCGGUGUUCUGACACGUCUGUAUCUUCCUCUACUGCGUGCCGCUGCAUCCAGGCGACCAUACCGGUGCCGCGUAAGUUACGACCGGCCGGCCGAUAGCCUUAUAAGUGGCCAGCAGCGUUUCUUUGUCCUUUCCUCAAGUGUUGAUUGCUCAAUAUCUUCUAGCAGCAUUGUUAAGUUCACCGUGUCAAAAGCUUUUGACAGAUCCAACGCCACUAGGACGGUUCUCUUACAGUGUGGUUUUUGAUUAAGGCCAUGAACUAUCUGGGCGUCUAUGACGCUAAGUGUUGUGGUAAUGCUGUGCACUUUACGGAAACCAUGUUGAUGUUUCGCUAGGUUCAGUUGGUACGUGAGUAUACUGUAAUGUCUUCACUACUGGGUAAAGGAGAGUUAUCGGGCGAUAAGACUCCCCUUGGUUGACGGUUUUCCCAGGUUUCAGUAAUGAAACCACUUUUCCGAUCAUCCACAUAUCGGGUAUUUUAAGAGUGGUUAGCGACAAAUUGAGUACCUUGGCGAGAUAUUCAACUCCCGUUGAACCUAGAUGUUUUAACAUCAAAGAAUUGAUUCCGUCUGGGUCGAUGGCUUUGGAGAACUUAGCUUUCCUAAUGACAUCCUGCACCUCUCCACUGGUGAAAACAAGUGGCACGCAGUUGUUUUGCAUUUUGCGCAGCCGUCUGGUGACACGCCUUUUAGCCCUGUCAACCGGGGGGUGCAGUAUAAAUUGUCGGCUAAAAUAGCUCGCGCACCUCUCCCGGUCCGAGGAGGCAUGGCUACCGAAUUGAAUUUCAACGCUGUUAACACAUCACUUCAACUGCUGUUAACACAUCACUUCAACGCUCGAUAUCUCGUAAACAGUGCGAGAUAUCAUUUUUUAUUUAAUAAAAAGUGUUUGUUUGGAUUAAUUAACAUAAAAAUGGUUUCAAAUCUUAGUGACUUAGUAACUAAAAUCGUGGCCCAACAUCUCUGCAUGCUAAACGAACCCGAUUCCUCUAAAACCCCCCUCCCUAUGGUUCGAGCCUGUCAGUUCCAAACAAAACGUGGCACAAUUCCGAUUUCUUUAGCGCCGUGACCUGAAGGUACCGUUGGGGAGAGGAAGUCUUCCUUAUUAAAAAAAGGGUUGCAAGAUGACAGAACAUAAGUGUUGCCACAUGCAAUCGAAUAAAAAUAAUCAAAAUGAAUAAAAUCCCCAAAAUGAAGAAAACAAAUAUCCUAUAAAUAGUACUUAAGUAAAGACCCAACACCGGGGAUUAUCAAAGAGGUGGAAUAACAAGUUCUUCCGCGUAGAACUACUUUCUGCACCGGGGAUUAUCAAAGUGGUGGAAUAACAACUUCUUCCGCGAGGAACUACUUUGCUUAUUGUAUUUGGGAUAUAAUCUUUCUUUUUCAUUAUUGAUUCUUAUAAUUCGUUUACAAAAUAUGUGAUAUGGUAACACUUUACACAAAUCUCUUAAUUUUCACAAUAACAAAAAGGGUUGCAGCUUGACAAGUAAUAAGUGUUGCCAUAUCAGAUAUUUUGCAAACGAAUGAGAAGAACCAAAAUAAAUAAAUACCCCAAAUGCAGAAAACAAAUGCCCUAUAAAAAGAUUACAUAAAGAUAAUAUAAAGAGUGUUUAUGAUAUUCACUCUAUGUACUAUAAGUAGGAGAAAUGAAAAGUUCUUUCGCAAAGAACUACUUUCUGCAUUGGCGGCCUUCGGCUGCGCUUUAAAAAAAUAACCCUGGUCGGGCCAUCACCGGGGGGGGUUAUCAAAGAAAAGAUAUUUGCAAACUUCGGAGAAAGCUUAAGCUGGAUACCACCCAUAUACUCCCAUAUAGGAAGGUAGCUAUACUUGGUAUGGGUGCGGGGAAAACUACCAGCAGUUCUUCAAGGCUUACAACGGCAAUCGUUCAUCAAUCGUACAUUACAAAUUCGACGUAUGAUGGAAGACGCACUCGUAGUCCUUUGUGUCAGGAAGUAACAAAUAUCAUGCACCUAGAAAUACAACACAAAAUAUGCUACAACAACAGAGUUGGUAUUAAUGUUUCCCAUGUUUAUAAUAUUGGUGGAUAAUCGCCAAAUGGUGUAGCAGCAACAACAAUUUAUACAUAUUCAAAUUCACAAUAAAAGUAAAAUCGCACAACGCAACAGGCAAAUAACAAGGCAUCGGAUGAUGUACUACAAAUUACAUCGGACUUUUGGAGUAGCACUUUUAACACUUAUUUUCGACGUGCUAAACACAGUGUCUCCUAUGAUGCCCUUGGAUUUACACCAUGGAUAACACGUGUCAACACAAAAUUUGACCAUAACUUUAAAGCAGUAAAUUUCCAUUGUUUAGGUCUUAAUUAGACGAAAAAAAUAUAUACCAUGAAAAGGUUUGCUUUUUUCUUUAGGACACCGUUUUAACGAUAUUUUUUAAAGUAUGUGGUUUUAAUUUUCAAUUGAAAAUGAAAUCACUUAAAAAAACAUUUUAAUUAAGUUUUACUAUCAAAAUAACUUACAAAAAAAGCAAAAAGUGACUUAAAAGUGAACACAUUUAUUUUUUUUAUGUUCAUAGGUAAUAUCUCUUAAUAAACCCCAAAUAUAGUAUCCCAUCAUGUUUUCAUUGUAUUGGCCUUGAUAACGUUGAUCGAAGCUCAUAAUUUUCUUUAAGAUAUACUGAGUGAGCGAUUGGAAGAGAUGGAAAUUUAUUUCCAUUAUGUAAAUAAACAGUAGAACUAUCGAUGAAUAAACGCCACUCGCUAGAAACACAAAGUAUGCCAAUUUCUUUGAACAAACCUUUUAUGUCGUUGCUAAAACAAAGUCCAUCUUCUUUUGUGAAAAAUGUUGAGAAUGUUUCAUGCCUAGUCCUCUGAUCCGUAAUAUUAACAUCAUCAAGCAAAUUCCACUGUUUUAAGCGAGAGUCUAAAAGCUCUGCUUUACUUUUUGGCAAAUUUAAAUCUCUAAUCAAAUCAUUAAAAUCUUCUGUCCAUCUUCUUUUGUGAAAAAUGUUGAAAAUGUUUCAUGCCUAGUCCUCUGAUCCGUAAUAUUAACAUCAUCAAGCAAAUUCCACUGUUUUAAGCGAGAGUCUAAAAGCUCUGCUUUACUUUUUGGCAAAUUUAAAUCU